UACGGGGGGGGCAAGCGUUGUUCGGAAUUACUGGGCGUAAAGGGCCAGUAGGCGGCCAACUAAGUCAUACGUGAAAUCCCUCAGCUUAACUGGGGAACUGCGUCUGAUACUGGAUGGCUUGGAUUCGGGAGAGGAAUGCGGAAUUCCAGGUGUAGCGGUGAAAUGCGUAGAUAUCUGGAGGAACACCGGUGGCGAAGGCGGCAUUCUGGACCGACAUUGACGCUGAGGAGCGAAAGCCAGGGGAGCAAACGGG
rnacentral:rRNA from 1 species